rnacentral:rRNA from 1 species
GAUGAACGCUGGCGGCGUGCCUAAUACAUGCAAGUCGAGCGAACAGACGAGGAUCUUGCUCCUCUGACGUUAGCGGCGGACGGGUGAGUAACACGUGGAUAACCUACCUAUAAGACUUGGAUAACUUCGGGAAACCGGAGCUAAUACCGUAUAAUAUAUUGAACCGCAUGGUUCAAUAGUGAAAGACGGUUUUGCUGUUACUUAUAGAUGGAUCCGCGCCGCAUUAGCUAGUUGGUAAGGUAACGGCUUACCAAGGCAACGAUGCGUAGCCGACCUGAGAGGGUGAUCGGCCACACUGGAACUGAGACACGGUCCAGACUCCUACGGGAGGCAGCAGUAGGGAAUCUUCCGCAAUGGGCGAAAGCCUGACGGAGCAACGCCGCGUGAGUGAUGAAGGUCUUCGGAUCGUAAAACUCUGUUAUUAGGGAAGAACAAAUGUGUAAGUAACUAUGCACGUCUUGACGGUACCUAAUCAGAAAGCCACGGCUAACUACGUG